rnacentral:ribozyme from 1 species
UGCCUAGAAACUACUAUCCCUACCUCCUCGUGGUACUGGCCGGGAAACGAGUAACCUUAAAGUAGAUCGGGUAACCAACCCCGGUGGGAACUUUGGUCGUAUGCUGACAGGUGAAGG